AUAUGGGGUGUGGGGUAAUGGAUGUGGGGUACAUGGGUCACAACCUCAGUGUCCAGCUUUGCUCCUGUGUCCCUUCAGGCUGGGGACACUCGGAAGAGCUGCAGGAGGUGGCAUAGAGCUGUCCCCAUGGCCCCUAUUGAUCCUGUGUCCCAAUGUCCCCAUGGCCCCUAUUGAUCCUGUGUCCCAAUGUCCCCAUGGCCCCAUAUCCCAAUGUCCCCAUGUCCCCCUAUUGAUCCUGUGUCCCAAUGUCCCCAUGUCCCCAUAUUCCAAUGUCCCCAUGUCCCCCUACUGAUCCUGUGUCCCAAUGUCCCCAUAUCCCAAUAUCUACAUGGCCCCCUAUUGAUCCUGUGUCCCAAUGUCCCCAUAUCCCAAUAUCUACAUGGCCCCCUAUUGAUCCUGUGUCCCAAUGUCCCCAUAUCCCAAUGUCCCCAUGUACCCAUAUCCCAAUAUCCCCAUAUCCCAAUGUCCCCAUGACCCCCUAUUGAUCCUGUGUCCCAAUGUCCCCAUGACCCCCUAUUGAUCCUGUGUCCCAAUGUCCCCAUAUCCCCAUAUCCCCAGUGUGCCCCUGUCCCCCUAUUGAUCCUGUGUCCCCAUCUCCCUGCACUGUCCCAAUGUCCCCCCCCCAUCUCCCCAUUAAAGAUGGAAGCAGCAUCACCCCCAUCCUCAUCCCUGGGGGGGGGGGGUUGAUCCCUCAGCAGCAACACCAGGACUGGGGCUUAAGGAGCCUUUAAUGGGGGCAUCCAUGGGGUCUAUGGGGACCGGGGGCGCUGCUGCCCCCCCCCCCCCCCCCACGGCUCCAUGGGGCUGGUGCCCCCCCCCCUCAGGAGCUGCCCCUUGUGCCCCCCCCAUGGCCUGGGGCUGCCCCGUCCCUGUCCCCAUUCCACUCGGGAAGGGGGGGCCAUGGGGCCACGGGGACCAGGGGCAGGGGGGGCUGGGGGUCAUCGGGCCGGGGGGGGCCCUGCGGCUGGGGGGGGGGCUUGGGCACGGGCGGCUGCGGCUGGGGGGGCGCUGGGGGGCGGCGCUCGGCCAUGCUGGGGGGGCAAAGAGAGAGAGGUUAUGGGGACACCCCCAUUGAUCCCAGUUAUGGGGACACCCCCAUUGACCCCAGUUAUGGAGACACCCCCCAUUGAUCCCAGUUAUGAGGACACUCCCCUAUUGAUCCCAGUUAUGGGGACACCCCCAUUGAUCCCAGUUAUGGGGACACCCCCCAUUGACCCCAGUUAUGGGGACCCACCCAUUGAUCCCAGUUAUGAGGACACUCCCCUAUUGAUCCCAGUUAUGGGGACCCACCCAUUGAUCCCAGUUAUGGGGACCCACCCAUUGAUCCCAGUUAUGGGGACCCCCCCAUUAACCCCAGUUAUGGAGGUCCAGGAUCCAUCCUGCCCCACUCCCCCCCCCUCCCCCAACCCCGCAGGGCUCCCCCCCCUCGGUACCUGGUGUCUAUGGCAGCAGCUCCAGAGCAACACCGGGAUCAAUGGGAGCAAUGGGAGCUCUUAUGGGCACCGGCAGGGCUGGAACCGGCUGGGCUGGAAGGUCGGGGGGGGACGUGGCAGCAGCUGCCCAUGAGUCAGAGCCCCGCCCGGCCCUAGAGAUAGAGCUUUGCCCUAUAGAACCUGCCCUAUAGAACCUGCCCCUAUGGAGCUGUCCUAUAAAACCUGCACCUAUAGCUGCCCUAUAGAGCCGGCAUCUAUAGACCUGCCCUUAUAGACCUAACCCCUAUAGACCUAAGCUCUAUUAACCCGCUCCCUAUAUAGAUCUGACCCUAUAGACUUGCCCUUAUAGACCUGCCCCUAUAGACCUAACCCCUCUAAACCUGUCCCCUAUAUAGACCCGCCCCUAUAGACCCCCCAUAGACCUCACCCUAUAGAUCUACCCCUAUAGAAACCGGGUGUGCGUUGGUUUGGGGACACUUUGCGGGGGGGGGGGAUAUGUUGGUGACCCCUGGGUCCCUCCCCAGCUGAUCCCAAGGACCCGGGGUCCCCAACACCCCCCAAAGGCUCCGCUUUAAGCCCAGGAGGAGGUCAGGUUAUGGGGCUGGCUAUGGGUCGGGCUAUGGGUCGGGCUAUGGGCCAAGGCGUGGGUCAGGCUGUGGGGCGCAGGCAGGGGCAGGUUGGGGAGCAGGGGGGGCCCCAGCAGGUCCCGCAGCUCCGGCUCCAGCCCCUCCGCAGCUGUGGGGCUGGGGCUCGGGGCCGGCGCUGCCGUCGGGGGGGGCUUCGUGUUCGGGAUGCUCACGGGCACCGGAGCCGUGGCUGGGACCGGGACCGUGACGGGCACCGGGAGGCUGCGGGCGGCGCCUGCGGACACCAGGGGGCGCUGGUGGGAAUGGGGCUCCCCCAUUGCGGUGGGGAACCCGCAUCCCCCCAUAGCCCCAUAGACCCCAUAGAUCCCCAUAGCCCCAUAGCCCCCAUAGCCCCAUAGACCCGCAUCCCCCCAUAGCCCCAUAGACCCCAUAGCACCCAUAGAUCCCCAUAGCCCCCAUAGCCCCAUAGACCCACAUCCCCCCAUAGCCCCAUAGACCCCAUAGCACCCAUAGAUCCCCAUAGCCCCAUAGACCCCAUAGACCCACAUCCCCCCCAUAGCCCCACACCCAGGAGGGACCCACGUGUUGGGCACCUACCGAGCAGGACGAGCAGGAGCCCGAGGGUCCUGAGGGCACCCAUGGGUGCUGCUUGUGGGGCCGGGAGCACCGGGAGCACUGGGAGCACUGGUUUUAUGGGCAGGGAUCCUCCCACCCCUGAUUCCAACCCAGCCACCUACGGAGGGUGGGGAACCGGGACGGCCACCCAUGGUAUGGGGCCAGACUGGUCCUAAUGGGGUCACACUGGGCCUAAUGGGGUCACACUGGUGCUGAUGGGGCCAGACUGGUCCUAAUGGGGUCACACUGGGCCUAAUGGGGUCACACUGGUGCUGAUGGGGCCAGCCUGGGCCUAUUGGGGUCAUACUGGGCAUUAUGGGGUCACAUUGGUGCUGAAGGGGCCAUACUGGGCCUAUUGGGGUCAUACUGGUGCUAAUGGGGUCACACUGGUGCUGAUGGGGCCAUAUUGGGCCUAUUGGGGUCAUACUGGUGCUAAUGGGGUCACACUGGUGGUGAUGGGGCCAUCCUGGGCCUAUUGGGGUCAUACUGGUGCUAAUGGGGUCACACUGGUGCUGAUGGGGCCAUCCUGGGCCUAUUGGGGUCACACUGGUGCUAAUGGGGUCACACUGGUGCUGAUGGGGUCAUACUGAGCCUUAUGGGGCCAGACUGGUCCCCAAGUGCCAGCAGGCCCAUGUGUGCCCUUGGCUCAUCUCCCAUGUUCUGAGUGUCCCCAUCCCAUGAGUGUCCCCAUCCCCAUCCCAU
rnacentral:lncRNA from 1 species